GAUCCAUCUUACAGUUACAGAAUCACCGAGACAGAGAAAAUACAUCAAUAAUUCUCCUCUACAUUUUUUUUUUCCUUUCUUUUUCUUCUCUUUUUCUUUCCAUUAAUUUUGUUCCCCACUCCAUUUUACCACUAAAUCUACUUUUUGACUUUCACCACCAUUUUCCCCACCACUUUCACCACCAACUCAAUUAUGCAACAACACAUAUUGUUCCAGCCAUCAAGUCUUUUCUUCCCUCACCAAAACGUGUAGAAGAAGUUGAGAAAGGGAGAGAGAGUUUCCUCCAACUCCAAAUUGUAACUUGAAGAGGUCAAACACGAGAUUAAUAAUCAGUCAAGGAGCUACUGUACCACAGAAAAUUUCUAUCAGGUUGAGCAGCUGCCGAUGGUGAUGAAGUGACGAGCGAGAUUCUUUUGUCUUAUUAUGUAUUAAUGAACUCUAGGGUUACAUGUCUUCAUACAUGUAAUCAGAACCUUAUUCCGCUGCGUACUCAGAAGUUUUAUGUUAUUUUGGAUAAGUCGGAGUUAUCCGAACUUGUUAGUUAUUUGAGUCUAUACGACAAAAACUCUGUUAUAUUAUAGAUAUCCAUGUUGUUAACAAUGAUGAAAUACGAUCCUUUCUUGUUUGAUUA